rnacentral:rRNA from 1 species
AUUGAACGCUGGCGGCAGGCCUAACACAUGCAAGUCGAGCGAGCGGCGGACGGGUGAGUAAUGCCUGGGAAUUGCCCAGUCGAGGGGGAUAACAGUUGGAAACGCCUGCUAAUACCGCAUACGAUGGGAUUGCCCAGGUGGGAUUGGCUAGUUGGUGAGGUAAUGGCUCACCAAGGUGACGGUCCCUAGCGGGUCUGAGAGGAUGAUCAGCCAAACUGGAACUGGGACACGGUCCAGACUCCUACGGGGGGAAGCAGUGGGAAAUAUUGCAAAUGGGGGGAAACCCUGAGGCAGCCAUGCCGCGUGUGGGAAGAAGGCCUUCGGGUUGUAAAGCACUUGCAGCGAGGAGGCGUUACUCGCAGAAGAAGCACCGGCUAACUCCGUGCCAGCAGCCGCGGUAAUUC